rnacentral:rRNA from 1 species
GUUGAACGCUGGCGGCAGGCCUAACACAUGCAAGUCGAGCGCGUGGGGGACGGGUGAGUAAUGUCUGGGACACUGCCUGAGGGAGGGGGAAAACUGCUGGAAACGGUAGAUAAUACCGCAUACCAUCAGCUGUGCCCAGAUGGGAUUAGCUUGUGGGUGGGGUAACGGUUCACAAAGGCGACGAUCCCUAGCUGGUCUGAGAGGAUGACCAGCCACACUGGAACUGAGACACGGUCCAGACUCCUACGGGAGGCAGCAGUGGGGAAUAUUGCACAAUGGGCGCAAGCCUGAUGCUUCCAUGCCGCUUGUAUGAAGAAGGCCUUCGGGUCGUAAAGUACUGUCAGCGGGGAGACGUUACCCCCAGAAGAAGCACCGGCUAACUCCGUGCCAGCAGCCGCGGUAAUUC